rnacentral:rRNA from 1 species
UAAUACGAGUACCCCAAGCGUUAUCCGGAAUCAUUGGGCGUAAAGGGUGUGUAGGCGGUCUGGUUAGUCUUCUGUUAAAAUCUUGGGCUCAACCCAAGACCUGCAGAGGAAACGGCCAAACUUGAGGAUGCGAGAGGUGAAUGGAACUCAUGGAGUAGGGGUGAAAUCCGUUGAUAUCAUGGGGAACACCGAAAGCGAAGGCAAUUCACUGGCGCAUUUCUGACGCUGAAACACGAAAGCGUGGGUAGCGAACGGGAUUAGAUACCCCGGUAGUCCACGCCCUAAACGAUGUCAACUGGCUUUUCGGAGUAUCGACCCUCUGAGAGGCGAAGCUAACGCGUUAAGUUGACCGCCUGGGUAGUACGGCCGCAAGGCUA